UUUAGUGCUUGGGGAGUCUUGGCCUAUAUUCCUUCAAUUGUAUUUCAAUGGACGAAAAAUCUGUUGCCAUAAGAUGCAAAAGUCGAAGAGGAAGAAUAGAAUCAAAAACAAGGCAGAGAUAUAUGUAUUUUGAAGUCAUUAGCAACUUUUAGUGUUUGAUUUCAAAUACGAGAAACGAUGAUGAAGAACAUGAUCAAAAAGAGACAAAUAAAGGUGCAUGCAUAUGAUUGUUUUCACCCUGUCAUGAACUUGUUCUUUUGUAAUCAUUUAGAUGCAGGAGAUGCCGAUGAUGUAAAAAAAGACCGAAGUAUUUGUUUUUUCUGUAUACUGUCACUACGUUGUUCAACUUCUUUCUGUGAGCUCUGAGAUCAAUUCUUUGUAUCGCAAACGUCGACAUUUCCGUCAACAACAUUUUUUGUUAAGAUAAAUAAAGUACUUAUCUUUGA